AAAAGAACGGGUAAAAGACUUUGAAGAAGGUGGAGAGAAGUUUUGUGUCCAAAGAGACAUGGUGGGAGUCAGGGGAUGGAUAGCUAGAGUCGGGCGGCUUCUGUGUCAUGCAGUGAAGCUGUGUCAGGACCUGGUUCCCAUGGUGACACGGCUUGCCUCCCUCAAAGCUGUUAGCAACUUCAUCUCUUCUGCUGAGAGGAAAGGACAGUGGUGUUGACACCAAGGUCUCCGGAGUGGGAGACACUUUGCACCCACACCUAUGGCUUCAACUUCACCAGAAGAAGUGCUAAUCCGCCGGCAUUUGCAACUGGUUCCUGACACCUUCCUGUCCCCCUCAGGAGCAGGGUUGUCACUCAGAGCAAUUAUAUUCCCAGCAACAAGUUCCACCUGUUGUUUUUCCCACCACUGACAGGAGGUGGGUGAGCUCUCCUCCAAACUGCUGUCUCUCCGGUGUCUGUUUGUGUGUGUUUGUGUGUGUGUGUGUGUGUGUGUGUGAAACUGUAGAGAGAAGCAGAGUCUGGGUCCUCUGUAUUCUAAAGCAAAAUGAGGCCACCUGUCCAGCCCAGAGCAGAAGGAGAGGCCAGAGUUGUUUUUCAGUGUGUCUGUCUGUCCUUCUGUUCCACUUGUGGACACAGAGCAGGAGCCUGAGAGCCCUUGUUGCUGAGGGUAGGGAGCUGUUAUGACUCAGAGUGAGCAGAGUGGGCAUCUCACUCGUCCCCCAGCCAACAGGGCUUCCAUGUCACCAUGGGGGAACCAGAGGCCUUGAGCAGGAGCCCAGAGCAUCUGGGUGACCGAGCCACCACCCGGCUGGGGCUUCUGUGUAAACUGCUGGUCACGCUCCUUGCUAGCUGAAGAGAAUCAGGCCACAGAACCCUGUGUGGCGUGAGACGCCUGUGAACUCCCAGACUCUGCUACUUGGGGUGCCCUUCUGUCUCCAGGAUGUCCUGCUCUUUAUCUGAGUUGAAGAGACAAGGAAGGGAGCUGGGCUGCUCUGAGCAGCCCCUGCUGGACAGGCCCUGCGUGUUGGCUCCAGGUUCCCUGCCGCCCAUUUUCUCAGAAAACACUGGAGUCCUGGAGUUCUGGGGUGUGUGGGGAGCCAGGAGCUUCUCUAAAAUCAGGCUGGCAACACCCGAGUGAGCAAAGGUCACUGUUCCUUCACUGAACAAGACUGCUCCCUCACCCCCAAGAUAUUGAUGGGUUUCUUCCGUGGCACUGAGACGCACGUUGGUUCCCCCAAAUCAAAUUGUUACCAGAAAAUAAGGGAACCUUGCGUUUCUAACGACCAAGACUUAAUGUGGGGUGUCCUUGGAGAUGGGAGAAAUCAAAUCAAGCCCACCAAGUUCUGUCCACUCAUCACGGGGGUGGGGGUGGGGGGCGUGACUAGGAAAAACAAAUAGAAGAUAGUGAGUGGAGGGAAUCUUGUUCUCUAAGAAUAAAUGGUAUUGAAAGUGAGAUGCUUUGCACACUAAAUAAAGCAAAGGAGGCAGCUUUUCAAUAUUUAUAGCCUCCAUAUGUCUAAAAGCCCAAACCCAAACCAACAUACAUCCCUGAUCAUGGAGCUUCCCUCCCUUAUCCAAAUAUAAAAAGUAUUGUAUGUUAUAUUGACUUCAGGGCUAAAUCCUUCCCUUAUAAGGUGUUUGAAAUAAAUGGCUUUUAUUAUGG
rnacentral:lncRNA from 1 species